AUUGAACGCUGGCGGCAGGCCUAACACAUGCAAGUCGAGCGGAUGAAGGGAGCUUGCUCCUGGAUUCAGCGGCGGACGGGUGAGUAAUGCCUAGGAAUCUGCCUGGUAGUGGGGGAUAACGUCCGGAAACGGGCGCUAAUACCGCAUACGUCCUGAGGGAGAAAGUGGGGGAUCUUCGGACCUCACGCUAUCAGAUGAGACUAGGUCGGAUUAGCUAGUUGGUUGGGUAAAGGCCUACCAAGGCGACGAUCCGUAACUGGCCUGAGAGGAUGAUCAGUCACACUGGAACUGAGACACGGUCCAGACUCCUACGGGAGGCAGCAGUGGGGAAUAUUGGACAAUGGGCGAAAGCCUGAUCCAGCCAUGCCGCGUGUGUGAAGAAGGUCUUCGGAUUGUAAAGCACUUUAAGUUGGGAGGAAGGGCAGUAAGUUAAUACCUUGCUGUUUUGACGGUACCAACAGAAUAAGCACCGGCUAACUUCGUG
rnacentral:rRNA from 1 species